rnacentral:lncRNA from 1 species
GAAAUGGGGGCAUCUGAGAUGAGACCUCAGGAAUGAACAGGAGCCAUUCUGCCGGGAACAGUGUUUUGCAAAUGAGACCACCGGGGCCUCCCUUUCAGCUUUCAUUCUCAGAGGGCCCCUCCACCUGGCCCUGUUCUGGCCCCCGAGGAUUCUAUGGGAAGCAGUGGAGUCCCACAGAUCUCGCUCCACACUCUGCUCCCUGAUCCCGGGGCUCCUCCGACUACCCCUGCCUCUCACACUCCUUCCCAUCCUCCCCUCCCACUCAGAAACUCUUUGUGGUCCCCGCGGAUGAGGCCCAGGCUCGAAUCCCAUAUGCCCGUGUCAACCACAACAAGUACAUGGUGACUGAACGCGCCACCUACAUCGGAACCUCCAACUGGUCUGGCAACUACUUCACGGAGACGGCGGGCACCUCGCUGCUGGUGACGCAGAAUGGGAGGGGCGGCCUGCGGAGCCAGCUGGAGGCCAUUUUCCUGAGGGACUGGGACUCCCCUUACAGCCAUGACCUUGACACCUCAGCUGACAGCGUGGGCAACGCCUGCCGCCUGCUCUGAGGCCCGAUCCAGUGGACAGGCCAAGGCCUGCUAGGCCCCCGCGGACCCAGAUGCUCUGGGUCACGGUCCCUGUCCCCGUGCCCCCGCUUCUGUCUGCCCCAUUGUGGCUCCUCAGGCUCUCUCCCCUGCUCUCCCACCUCUACCUCUGCCCCCACCGGCCUGACGCUGUGGCCCCGGGACCCAGCAGAGCUGGGGGAGGGAUCAGCCCCCAAAGAAAUGGGGGUGCAUGCUGGGCCUGGCCCCCUGGCCCACCCCCACUUUCCAGGGCAAAAAGGGCCCAGGGUUAUAAUAAGUAAAUAACUUGUCUGUACAGCCUGUGCCUGACUGAGUGGUGUGAGAUGGGGUGCAGGGGUAGGGGACAGCUGGCAUGGGCCUCUGGUGGGGACAUCUUUUUGUGCUGAGCCCUCAACAUGUCACUGGCAUGUGCUGAGCCCUCAGUGUGUGACUAGUGUGGGUUAGCAUGUACUGAGCCCUCAGCAUGUGCUGGCAUGGGUUGGCAUGUGCUGAGCCCUUAACAUGUAGUGUACAUGGGCUAACCUGUGCUGAGCAUGCAGCGUGCCACCCUGUGGCCUGGCAUGGACUUAGCACUCAUGUAGCCAGCAUGGGGUAUGUGCUGCACAGAAGCAUGUUCCCAGAUUGAUCAGCAAGGACCAAACCAUUGCCACAUCCCAAGGGUGAACAAGCAUGGCUGAGCACCAGAGUGUGCACCAAGUGUGAAUUUCGGCCUGCCAAGUGGAUUUACACCCAGCAUGUCCCAAAUGUGGGUGUGUGCUGAGCCUCCUAAGUCCCUAAUUGUAUCCUGAACAUGGGUGAGUGUGUGCUGAGCCUCCUCACACCCCAACUGUAUCCUGAGCAUGGGUGAGUGUGUGUUGAGCCUCCUCACACCCAAUCGUAUCCUGAGCGUGGGUGAGUGUGUGUUGAGCCUCCUCACACACUAAUCAUAUCCUGAGCACGGGUGAGUGUGUGCUGAGCCUCCUCCCACCCCAGUCGUAUCCUGAGCAUGGGUGAGUGUGUGCUGAGCCUCCUCAUACCCUAAUCAUAUCCUGAAUGUGGGUUGAAUGUGCUGAGCCUCCUCACAUCCUAAUCUUAUCCUAAGGUGGGUGAGUGUGUGCUGAGCCUCCUCACAUCCUAAUUGUAUCUUUGAAUGUGGUUGAGUGUGUGCUGAGCCUCCUCACACCCUAAUUGUAUCCUGAAUGCACCCGGCUCACCUGAGCUUCCAUGGUCAUAUUGUCAAUGUUGGGCCCAUCCUCAUCUCGCUGCAGGAUGGCCAGUGGCUCAGCAGAGGCCCCGAGAUGCUCUCCUUCCUCCCAGCUGCUGCCCCGGCAGGGCCUGUCAUCCUCAGGCGAGACCUGGCUCAGCCGGAUGAGGUUGCUGAAGUUGGAGUCGGACUUGGAACCUGCAGGUGGCUUGCGGGCCUUGUGGCGGCCUGCCAGGCGGCUGCUAUAGAAGGCCAGGAUGGGCUCAGGGCCCGAGUCGGGCAUGUGGUGACCAGUGAUGGCUGCCUUGAGGGGGGCCAUCAUGUCGGAGACCGCAUCGGUGCAGGUCUCACCCCACAGCCCAUGCCCAGCCUCCUGCAGACUCAGGUCAUCCAGCUGGUCGAUGGAUCUUUGCAUACCUGGUGCCUUCUCCUCUCGGAAGAAGGGGCUGCUGCCGGCCACACUGCCCAUACCCGCGGCCUCCUUCUCCUCAGCCAGACGGUAGUAGGGGGUCCCAUCUUCUGCGGCCACGACGGGCGUGGGGGGCUUCCCCUCCACCUGCAGCGAGAGGCGGUAGCUGCGCAGCGAGAGCUGGUAGUAGUGCGUGGUCUCGUGGGCACUGCGCAGCUGCUGCAUGGACACGAAGGGGUGGCGCAGGGCAGCACUGGGGCUGAUGCGUUCGUGUGACUCCCAGGUCAGCAUGCGCUUGAUCAGCUCCACCAUGCUCUUGAGGUCGGCGUGCUCCGCCAGUGCCUCCCGGUCAGGGAAGGUUAGCCGACUGGCCACACUGCCACCAUUCACUGUCUCAAUCUGGUCCAAGGACUUGAGCAUAUACUUGCGGCGCUCCAGUGGGCGCACCUGGCGGGGCAUGGAGAAGGGGGCAGGGUUGACCAUUGUGCAGGGCUAGGGCCCUGGGCACUCCUGCUGUGGCACCCACAUGUAGCCCCGACUUCCAGGUCUGCCCAUGAUCUGCCUUGGAGCUCUCUGGCUGCUAGGAGGGCCACCCUGGAUCCGUCCCACCCAAGCCCCUCUAAUCUAACCCAAAUCACUGGCCCAAGUUCCACCCCUUGCCCCAGACCUCCAGUCCCCCUCAGCACCAUGGGUGCAGCCCCUACCAGCAGCUAGCAGAAGGGCUGCCCGGAAUCUCUAGUCCUCCCUGGAAUCAAAUCCAGGUCCCUCUUACUGCCACAGCUCCACAUUUGAUCCCAGGCCUCCUGGUGGUCAAACCCAGACCCUUCUUGCUAUAGUAGUUUGUCACCCCCUGCUAUUAAACUGCCAUUGACUUUUAGUCUCACCUGUGGUCCCAUCCAGACCCUUCUUGCUGUGAAAUCAAGACCUAUGACCUCAAACUCCUAGUCCCCUCUGCUGUCUAACCCAGGCUCUUGCUGCACAGAUUGGAGGGGCAAAGCCAUAGAGGUAGCAGACUG